rfam:Klebsiella pneumoniae IS43, WGS project CBWK01000000 data, contig: c5
CUUUAAAAAUCUGGAUCAAGCUGAAAAUUGAAACGACACACUGUUUAAGUGUGUUCGAGUCUCUCAAAUUUUUCGCAAUCAGAAGUGAAACAUCUUCGG